rnacentral:lncRNA from 1 species
CUCCAGUUCGAGUUGAAAAACAUGCACUGAAAAGAAGCGCAUCCUAUAGCCGCGCCAACUAUUGUUUUAAAAUCGGAAUCUGCACACCCACCUGUUGCCUUCGCAGGUGACACUGCCACUAAGAGGUUUGUCUGAGUCCAGCUUUCACCAUCAGACAUCUGGCAUGUUUCCUUAAUAAUUCUUUCUUAACUGCGCCCUGCGUAUCCCCAAUCCUCAUGCAAACGACGGUGAAAGCGCCGGUGACUCUAGAUGUGUAAGAGGACGCAGCCGUUUAGAGAAAAUAUGUUGUCCGACGUGCCACACCGCUUUCUGGGCACCAGUACCCAGACUACCUGUGUUCCAUUGAAUCGGAAUCCACCAGAUUUUUCCAGAGUUUCUCCAGGGAAAACGCCAUGAUCUUUAUUUUCGAGUGGAGCACAUAACCUUUUUGUGUACACGGUGUCCUCAAACCUUUGGCUGCUGCCAGAAUCCCUGUUUAAACAGUACAAUGGUGAAAAUUGGCUCUCGAGGAGGGUUAGGCUCUCGCUGCCGCACCGUUUGGCAAGCCAUUUCUUCCACUUCUUUAAGACGUGCGCCCGUGAAGGACGCAAAAAGAAUUUCUUCACGGUGGAAUAGUUGUGGAGUUUCGUCAGGGCGACAUCUAUUUGAGAGGGAAUUUUUGCCGCUGGAGCGCAGUCCCAGCGGAGUGGUGGCACACCAGCAACGCAGACCCGGUCAGGCCUUCCCGCCGAUGAGAGGCUGCAGAGGCACUUGGAGCUUUUGGUAGCAUCUGGAAUUUCGUGUUUUCUUUGUUGUGUGAAGCUUCCCGUGUUCCGUUUUUUGUGUUAACAGCCUUUCUGUUGUGUAUACUUCGGGCACAGUUUCAGCGCUCGAUCGUGGCAGCAGUCUCGGCGCUCUCGCAGCUCACGCCUGGGCGCCGUGCCCUUUCCUAUAUUCGACUGUUGUUUUAUGGUGGAAAGAUAUCCCUCCGUUUUUGUCGGGAACUUUUGCCCAGCAGAUGUCUUCAUUUCUCCGUGGCGCGCCUAAUUUUGAAAAGAGAAUGGCUGACAAACGAUCCUUCAGGAAUUCAAAGCUCG